UACUGGAGGACAGGUGGCUGCAUGGCGUGUCGUCAGCUCGUGUCGUGAGAUGUUGGGUUAAGUCCCGCAACGAGCGCAACCCUAUUGCUAGUUACCAUCAUUAAGUUGGGGACUCUAGCGAGACUGCCAGUGAUAAACUGGAGGAAGGUGGGGAUGACGUCAAAUCAUCAUGCCCCUUAUGACCUGGGCUACAAACGUGAUACAAUGGCUGGAACAAAGGGAUGCGAAGCAGUGAUGUGGAGCGAAACCCAUAAAAACAGUCUCAGUUCGGAUUGAAGUCUGCAACUCGACUUCAUGAAGUCGGAAUCGCUAGUAAUCGCGGAUCAGAACGCCGCGGUGAAUACGUUCUCGGGGUUU
rnacentral:rRNA from 1 species